AGUGAACGCUGGCGGUAGGCCUAACACAUGCCAGUCGAACGGCAGCACAGUAAGAGCUUGCUCUUACGGGUGGCGAGUGGCGGACGGGUGAGGAAUACAUCGGAAUCUACUUUUUCGUGGGGGAUAAUGUAGGGAAACUUACGCUAAUACCGCAUACGACCUACGGGUGAAAGCAGGGGAUCUUCGGACCUUGCGCGAUUGAAUGAGCCGAUGUCGGAUUAGUUAGUUGGCGGGGUAAAGGCCCACCAAGGCGACGAUCCGUAGCUGGUCUGAGAGGACGAUCAGCCACACUGGAACUGAGACACGGUCCAGACUCCUACGGGAGGCGGCAGUGGGGAAUAUUGGACAAUGGGCGCAAGCCUGAUCCAGCCAUACCGCGUGGGUGAAGAAGGCCUUCGGGUUGUAAAGCCCUUUUGUUGGGAAAGAAAAGCAGCAGGUUAAUACCCCGCUGUUCUGACGGUACCCAAAGAAUAAGCACCGGCUAACUUCGUG
rnacentral:rRNA from 1 species